GUGGCUUCCGGAGCUAACGCGUUAAGUCGACCGCCUGGGGAGUACGACCGCAAGGUUAAAACUCAAAUGAAUUGACGGGGGCCCGCACAAGCGGUGGAGCAUGUGGUUUAAUUCGAUGCAACGCGAAGAACCUUACCUGGUCUUGACAUCCACGGAAGUUUUCAGAGAUGAGAAUGUGCCUUCGGGAACCGUGAGACAGGUGCUGCAUGGCUGUCGUCAGCUCGUGUUGUGAAAUGUUGGGUUAAGUCCCGCAACGAGCGCAACCCUUAUCCUUUGUUGCCAGCGGUCCGGCCGGGAACUCAAAGGAGACUGCCAGUGAUAAACUGGAGGAAGGUGGGGAUGACGUCAAGUCAUCAUGGCCCUUACGACCAGGGCUACACACGUGCUACAAUGGCGCAUACAAAGAGAAGCGACCUCGCGAGAGCAAGCGGACCUCAUAAAGUGCGUCGUAGUCCGGAUUGGAGUCUGCAACUCGACUCCAUGAAGUCGGAAUCGCUAGUAAUCGUGGAUCAGAAUGCCACGGUGAAUACGUUCCCGGGCCUUGUACACACCGCCCGUCACACCAUGGGAGUGGGUUGCAAAAGAAGUAGGUAGCUUAACCUUCGGGAGGGCGCUUACCACUUUGUGAUUCAUGACUGGGGUGAAGUCGUAACAAGGUAACCGUAGGGGAACCUGCGGUUGGAUCAC
rnacentral:rRNA from 1 species